CAUGUACUCCCUCCGUCCCAAAAUUAUUGUCUUAGAUUUGUCUAGAUACAGAUGUAUCUAAUACUAAAACGUGACUUGAUACAUCCGUAUCUAGACAAAUCUAAGACAAGAAUUUUGGGACGGAGGGAGUAGUAA
rnacentral:pre_miRNA from 1 species